AAUAAUAGUCUUUUUUGAUCUUUUUUAACCAGGAUCUCCUAGCUUUGGACAUUCAAUAUAUAUUUGUGAAACUACAAGUAUCUUAUUUUCCCCAUUCACUCUUUGACACAUCUUUAAAGAACGGUACUUUGUAGGGUGGGAAAACGAAUGCAGUAACACACUAGAUAAUUCAUUUUAAUCUUUAUACAAGAUCCUAAUGUUGGCAAGGCAGGAGAGAAUAGCUCUGCCACGACCCUUAUUUAACUUGGGGCGGAUGUGCACAGUCCAAGGGCAGCAAAGUGAUAAAUAGAUUCUGGCAGCGCCUUCUCCCUACCUUGAGUAGUAUUACAGUGUGUCAUUGGAGUGGCUCAUUUAGAACAGGAAGCCAGAGACACUGUGUGGUGUUCUCCCAGGGUAAGCUCACAGAUACCUCAUAGAAGGCUUUGGCACAAGUUGCAAUAGGCACACAGAAAGUGGCUUUAUUUUUAAGGCUCAAAUUCAGCUGAAAGCUUUGCAGGGAAUACAGUGAAGGGAGUGCUGGACUUAGGGUAAAAUAGCUGGUUUAUUCUUGCUUCCACAGUACACAAAAGCCUUACUGAUGAGUCCAGCAGUCAUCUGCUAAUCUUACACCUUAAAAUAAGUAAUAUACACAAGCCCUCAUUAACAUGGAGUCUUCACUCUGAAGGGAAGGGUAUUUGGGAACGUGGAUUUCUAAUUCACACUGAGUUACCCUGUUUCCACACUCUACUGCAAUUCAGUGUAGCUAGUGCAAUUCAGCAAAGAAGCUUUAUCAACAAAAGCAGCCAAAUACCAUGUUUCCAGUGUGAUACUUCAAAAUCACAGCAGUCAGUUCUGUGGUAUACAAUUUUACCUUCUAAGUGGCUGUUUUAGUUUUAGAGUAUAGGGCGUAUGGUGGGGGAAAAUGCCACCUUUGUUUGUAGAUUUUCUGAUUACCUUUUCUCCCAAAUGGAAAAGGCUUACUAGUGAGAUUCCCUUCCCCACUUCCCAUCCAGUAAUAAAAGUAAUCCCGAAUGAUACUAUAAAAAUCCAUACAACAGAGAAAAGAAACAAGAAAGUGAGAAGAUGAACUUUAACCCCAACAUCCAAAGAUGGGCAUUAUUAAAAGGUGGGGUAACUAGUGUAUAUUGUUAGAAAUUGAUAUUUCCCUGACACAAGUACUUGAAAAAUGUGAUACUCUUGCUUUGUAACCUGCCUACUUUAAUGAUGCAUAUUCAUCUUUCUGUGUCAAUCAAUGCUCAUUUUUUUAACAACUGGAUAAGUAGCUAGUAUUUUAAUACUCUUAAGGUCCUAAUACGUUUUGUUUUUAUUUUGACAAUUAAAUUCAUAAGGUUAUUUGAGGGGAGUCAUGUGUUUCAAUAUUGACAUGUGGCCUUUUUCUAAGGAGGGACACUUCUUUGUGGACAUUAAAAUAAACAACCAUUUAUAGCAACAAAAUUCUGCAUAAGCAAAUAUGAGUAUGCACAACAAAAACAAAAAUAAAACCAUUAAAAUG